GACGAACGCUGGCGGCGUGCUUAACACAUGCAAGUCGAACGAGAAAGCCCUUCGGGGUAAGUACAGUGGCGAACGGGUGAGUAACACGUGGGCAACCUGCCCCAGAGAGCGGGACAACCCGGGGAAACCCGGGCUAAUACCGCAUGAUGCGUCUCCACUUAAGUGGAGCCGACAACUGGUAGCUUCGGCCUCCGCCCUGGGAUGGGCCCGCGCCGGAUUAACUAGUUGGUUGGGGUAAUGGCCUACCAAGGCGACGAUCCGUAGCGGGUCUGAGAGGACGAUCAGCCACACUGGGACUGAGACACGGCCCAGACUCCUACGGGAGGCAGCAGUGGGGAAUCUUGCGCAAUGGGCGAAAGCCUGACGCAGCAACGCCGCGUGGGGGAAGAAGGCCUUCGGGUUGUAAACCUCUUUCAGUAGGGACGAAGCUUCCGGGGUUAAUAGCCUACGGGGUGACGGUACCUACAGAAGAAGCCCCGGCUAACUACGUGCCAGCAGCCGCCGUAA
rnacentral:rRNA from 1 species